GGAAGUAGAAAGGUGGAAAAAUGAGGAGACCCUGGAAGAAAUGAAUGCAUUUCUUAUGAGAGAGCCUUGGGGCUUUUUUCUUUUCUUUCUUUCUUUCUUUUUGUUUUCUUCAAUCAUCUGACCUGCAAAGGCUAGAGUGACAGCGUCAUGCAAAUGCUGCAGUCCAGCAGGUCUGGGAGAGGGUGGAUGCUAGACUGUGAGUUAAUGUUAAUGAUGAGCGCAGUGAAAAUACCAGCCGCUGCCACCCCCUGCUCACAGAAGCGCUCUGAGUCAGCAUCAGAUGCUUUGCCUCGCCUCUCGCUGUGUGUCUGUAUGCCUGUGUGCGCGCGCGUGCUCGCUCGGGCAUCCGUGUCUAGCCGAGGGGAGGGGGUGGCGUGUGAGUGCGUGGAGGGUAAAAGCCAGUCAGUCAGUGAGAAGCAAAGAUCAACUACCUCAGAAGAACCAGAUUCCACUUCUGUGGCCAGGACUUUUAUGUUAUGGCUGGUCCGAUUGUUUUACCCUUCGUUCUAUGCUACUAAACCUUGGAUAAUUCCUAAAGUACAAAUUCUAUUCUCGAACCACAAACAAGGCUAAAAGAUCGGAGGAAAUUCAGUGAAUAUACAGGAUUGGGGUUGUGUAUUUUCAAAAUAAUGUUACAGAUAUCAAGAUUCAAAAUGGACAUGACAGACUUUCCAUAAUAGAAGCAACGAAGUGGCUUCAUUCUUUUAACUAUUGCCUUAGAUGGAUGCCAUAAAUUAUGCGUUUUUUGCAUUGUUAAAAUAAAUUUAUGAAUAUAUUUUAGAAUACUAUAUGGAAUCUUUGUUCACAUUUUAAAAAAUUUCUUAUAAUACCUACUUGAAAUAUUACAGAAUAUAAAUUAUCUAUUAGUCAUAGUUAUUAAAAAUUAAUGUAACAGUAUCAUAAACAUGCAUCUAUAGAAAGCAUGCAGAGUAUGUUUAAGCAUGUAUGCACACUGUACCUAUUCAGAUUCUUUAUUUAUAUCCUCUACUUCAUUUAUCUAGAAGUUCUGAAAUUUUAGGUGUGUGUAUGUGGUAUGUAUAAAUACAAGUUUUAAAGCUCCAAAUGAAAAGAGGCAAUAUAAACAGUAAAGAGUUUUGGUUGUAUUUAUCUUUUACUAAUUUUGACCUCAUUCUCAUUGGAAUUGAGCAUUUUUUAAAACCAUAAGUUUCUUAAUACAAAGAAAUCUAUGCAUGUGUAUCUACAUGCACACAGAAACUUGAUUACAUUUAAUAACAAUGUUCACACAACGAAUUUGAAAGUACUUCUUAUAUAAAAUAAUAUCACAUACAAGUAUGUGUUUACUGACACCUGUUUUAACAUGAUCAUAAAUAAUAUCUAUAAGAGUUUCCAUCAAUUUAAUUCCAAAACAAUGUAAGAGGUAGAUGUUUAUUGGCUAUAGUGAUAUCAGAUAUAGGUUAUUGAAAUGUGAAAAUGUUUUAAUGUUAUCAUAUUCAGGAACCAUACUGUAUGUUAAUUUCUGUCUCAUAAAAGAAAUAUACCAAAGCUGAAUUGAGAAUGCAAUGGUGUUUGUUCAUUUUCACCAUAAACAUAUAAAAAUUUUUUUACUAAUAAUCCUACAUGAUUGGAACUUCUCUGUAACCCUCCUAUGAUAACUGUCUUUUGAGAGCCUCAUUGAUAAAGCUCUUCUCUUACUUCAUAAAGGUGUGUAGAGAUUUAAGUGGGUGACUUUGUUUAUAUAAGCUACUUUAUGCUGUAUAUGCAUAGACAGAUGCCACUUUUUCUGCAUUUCUGUCUCCGCUGUCACAGAAUAAUAUUGUGUUAGGGCUUUAUGAUAUGAUUUGGAAAAUUAGAUCAUACUAAGCUUAAAAUAAAAGGAGAGAUCUACAACAAAGAGCGAGAAAAUGAUGUGUGUUGCAUACAAAAAAAGCAGUGAUAUUAACAAUUCUAUGGCUUCCUGGUAGGGAGACCAGCCUGAGCCAGACGCAUAUAUUAAGGGCUGUCUGCUGCCGAUGUGAGCUUGCUCAAUGCGGUGGAAAUGAGGAAUCAUCUCCUUUCUGACACCAGCUUAUUUGUACAUUUUAAUUUUGAAAUAGCAAAUCAUUGUUUUACAUAAAUAUACUAACCCUGCCUGAUUCAUUUUCUUUUCCAUAUUGUUUGUUAAUUUACUGUCAACUUCAACUUCCUUUUUUUAGCAAAAAACUGAUCACUC
rnacentral:lncRNA from 1 species